rnacentral:lncRNA from 1 species
AGCUUUCAUAAUGUGAUCUAAGCAAUAAGUAAAUUGUUUUCAAUAAAGCGUGGGGAUAACAAAAUUAAUUAUCAAACAACAUGUAUAAAAGCAAUUAUUGCUAUUAAAACACAAACUAAAAGAGUACAAGUAUACAACUAUCAGAUAUAUGAACAGCUUCGAAAGAAGCUACUUGCAAUUUGCAAAUGAUGACUCAUCAACUGUUAAAACAUUUCUCCGGUGGCUUUUUCUACCUUGCCUGAAGAUCUUUCAUGUCUCUCAUCUCUCCUUGAUUCAAGCCCUUCCCAAUCUCCCAAAUCAGCCAAAAAAUCUCCGAUAUACCGACAGCAACCUCCUCUAAUCCUCGUGAAAGCAUUAAAAGCGAAGAUCGAACAAAAAUUUAAACUUCUAAGCUAGAUGAAGGUAAACGAAGAGGAACCCAGCUGAAUUUUCGUGUGUAGACAGAAACGACAACAACAUACCUUAAAUAAAGCUGAAGAAAAUAACAAAGACUGGCAGAAAACUCGCUUCUUCACAGAUUUAGGCGAAUGGUGAAUGGUUUGUUGGAACAUAUCGUUGAAGGCCACGGCAGUAUGGUUGUUGCUAAAAGAACAAAUGAAAUGGGGCUAGGGUUUCCUUUUGUCGAGUGAAGAUGAGGAUGAAAAUGAAAACCGAACUUUGAAGAAAGAGAUUUUCAGAUUCUAGUCUAGAAAGAAGAUAAAAUAAAAUAAGGCAACAGACAGACUCUGAUUCAUUUCCAAGUUCCAACGCCUCCCCACUAAUUGAGCUGACCUAACAUUUGGCUUGUGAGCCGACCCAAACGGCUUGUGAACAGUAACCUUUCUAUUGCCUCUUUUAU